GGACGAACGCUGGCGGCGUGCUUAACACAUGCAAGUCGAACGGAAAGGCCCUGCUUUUGUGGGGUGCUCGAGUGGCGAACGGGUGAGUAACACGUGAGUAACCUGCCCUUGACUUUGGGAUAACUUCAGGAAACUGGGGCUAAUACCGGAUAGGAGCUCCUGCUGCAUGGUGGGGGUUGGAAAGUUUCGGCGGUUGGGAAUGGACUCGCGGCUUAUCAGCUUGUUGGUGGGGUAGUGGCUUACCAAGGCUUUGACGGGUAGCCGGCCUGAGAGGGUGACCGGCCACAUUGGGACUGAGAUACGGCCCAGACUCCUACGGGAGGCAGCAGUGGGGAAUAUUGCACAAUGGGCGGAAGCCUGAUGCAGCAACGCCGCGUGCGGGAUGACGGCCUUCGGGUUGUAAACCGCUUUCGCCUGUGACGAAGCGUGAGUGACGGUAAUGGGUAAAGAAGCACCGGCUAACUACGUG
rnacentral:rRNA from 1 species